UGGGGAAUAUUGGACAAUGGGGGAAACCCUGAUCCAGCGACGCCGCGUGUGUGAAGAAGGCCUGCGGGUUGUAAAGCACUUUCGGUGUGAACGAAAUAUGCCGGGCUAAUACCCCGGUAGGCUGACGUUACUCAAUGAAGAAGCACCGGCUAACUCUGUGCCAGCAGCCGCGGUAAUACAGAGGGUGCGAGCGUUAAUCGGAAUUACUGGGCGUAAAGCGCACGUAGGUGGCUAUGUAAGUCGGGUGUGAAAUCCCCGGGCUCAACCUGGGAACUGCAUUCGAGACUGCAUAGCUGGAGUACGGAAGAGGAGGGCGGAAUUCCCGGUGUAGCGGUGAAAUGCGUAGAUAUCGGGAGGAACAUCAGUGGCGAAGGCGGCCCUCUGGUCCAGUACUGACACUCAAGUGCGAAAGCGUGGGGAGCAAACAGGAUUAGAUACCCGAGUAGUCCCUGAGCGGGCUGGCAAGGCGCAU
rnacentral:rRNA from 1 species